UUACCUCAUUUUUCCCUGCGAAGAAAGCAGUAACUUUUAUCAGAUCUCGCUUUACUAGAGUUGCCGAAGAUCAUCCCAGCAGGCACCAGUUGCACAAGAUCAUCAACUGAGAGUCAAAAGACACUGUUCAAUUUCAGAAGAAACUGACCUGACCUGACCUGACCUCCUUCAAUGGAGGACGCUUACGCCCGAUCUGUUUCAGAGGUUCUUGAAUUCUUUGCCGUGGAUCCAACUAAAGGUCUUACGGAUUUACAGGUUACACAACAUGCACACUCAUAUGGCAAAAAUGUGUUGCCUCAAGAAAAAAGCACUCCUUUCUGGAAGUUGGUGCUGAAGCAAUUUAACGAUUUGCUUGUUAAGAUUCUAAUUGCAGCUGCUUUUAUUUCCUUUUUUUUGGCACUUGCUAAUGGAGAAACGGUAUUAUCAGCCUUCAUUGAACCUUCGGUUAUCUUGAUGAUAUUGGCUGCAAAUGCAGCGGUCGGGGUGAUCACAGAAACAAAUGCUGAAAAGGCUCUUGAGGAGCUACGUGCAUACCAAGCUGACGUUGCUACUGUCCUGCGCAAUGGUUGUUUCUCGAUAUUACCUGCAGCAGACCUUGUCCCUGGAGAUAUUGUAGAAGUGAGUGUUGGGUGUAAAAUUCCAGCUGAUAUGAGAAUGAUCGAGAUAUUGAGCGAUCACUUACGUGUUGAUCAGGCAAUUUUAACAGGUGAGAGCUGCUCUGUGGAAAAAGAGCUUGAUGCAACGACUGCUACAAAUGCAGUAUACCAGGAUAAGACAAGCAUCCUCUUUUCUGGCACUACAGUAGUCGCUGGAAGGGCAAGAGCUGUUGUUAUUGGGGUUGGAUCUAAUACUGCAAUGGGCAGUAUACGUGAUUCUAUGUUAAUGACUGAAGAUGAGGUGACGCCAUUGAAGAAAAAGUUGGAUGAAUUUGGCACUUUUUUGGCAAAGAUCAUUGCAGGAAUAUGUGUGCUAGUUUGGGUGGUAAACAUUGGGCAUUUUAGUGAUCCUGCCCAUGGUGGCUUCUUGCGAGGUGCAAUACAUUACUUUAAGAUUGCAGUUGCACUGGCUGUUGCAGCAAUCCCUGAAGGGCUUCCUGCUGUUGUUACAACGUGUUUGGCCCUUGGGACAAAGCGAAUGGCUCGUUUAAAUGCUAUUGUGAGAUUCUUGCCGUCCGUAGAAACCUUGGGCUGCACGACAGUAAUCUGCAGUGACAAGACUGGCACUCUCACAACAAAUAUGAUGUCUGUGUCAAAGAUUUGUGUGCUUCAUUCAUUAAAUAAUGGUCCAAUGAACUCUGAAUACGUUGUUAGUGGAACAACUUACGCACCAGAAGGUUUUAUAUUUGACAGCUUGGGAGCCCAGCUAGAGAUUCCUGCUCAGUAUCCUUGUCUACUUCAUAUAGCAAUGUGCUCAGCUCUAUGCAAUGAGUCUGUUAUACAAUACAACCCAGAUAAGAGAAUUUAUGAGAAGAUUGGUGAAUCAACUGAAGUUGCCCUCCGUUUGCUGGCAGAAAAAAUUGGUCUUCCUGGUUUUGAUACAAUGCCCUCUGCUUUAAAUAUGCUAAGCAAGCAUGAACGGGCCUCUUACUGUAAUCGGUAUUGGGAAAGCCAAUUUAAAAAGGUUUCUUUAUUGGAAUUUUCACGUGAUCGCAAAAUGAUGAGUGUGCUUUGUAACCGGAAGCAGAUGGAGAUAAUGUUCUCAAAAGGAGCUCCAGAAAGCAUACUUUCAAGAUGUACCAAUAUACUGUGUAAUGAUGAUGGUUCUACGGUCCCUCUUUCUGCACAUAUUAGAGCUCAGUUGGAAGCAAAGUAUAAUAGUUUUGCAGGAAAAGAAACUCUUAGAUGCUUAGCUCUAGCCUUGAAAAGAAUGCCUAUGGGUCAACAAUCGCUCUCCUUUGAUGAUGAAAAUGACCUUACGUUUAUUGGGUUGGUUGGGAUGCUUGAUCCACCAAGGGAUGAAGUAAGAAAUGCCAUCCUUUCAUGUAUGAAUGCGGGCAUACGUGUAAUCGUUGUUACUGGGGAUAACAAGACAACUGCAGAAUCCUUGUGCCAAAAAAUUGGUGCCUUUGAUCACUUGGGAGAUUUUACUGGGUUUUCUUAUACUGCCUCUGAGUUUGAAGAACUCCCGGCAUUGCAGAAAUCAGUGGCAUUACAACGAAUGACAAUUUUAUCCAGGGUCGAACCAUCCCACAAAAGGAUGCUGGUUGAAGCAUUACAGAAUCAAAAUGAAGUGGUUGCAAUGACUGGAGAUGGAGUAAAUGAUGCACCUGCACUGAAGAAAGCAAACAUUGGAAUUGCCAUGGGAUCUGGAACUGCAGUUGCAAAGAGUGCUUCAGAUAUGGUUUUAGCAGAUGACAACUUCGCCACCGUUGUUGCAGCAGUUGCUGAGGGAAGGGCUAUAUAUAACAAUACGAAGCAAUUUAUUAGAUACAUGAUAUCUUCAAACAUUGGUGAAGUGGUCUGUAUAUUUGUGGCUGCUAUGCUUGGGAUUCCUGAUACUCUUGUGCCUGUCCAACUGCUAUGGGUAAAUUUGGUCACUGAUGGAUUGCCUGCCACAGCUAUUGGGUUUAAUAAACAAGACUCAGAUGUUAUGAAGUCCAAACCUCGGAAGGUCAAUGAAGCAGUGGUUAGUGGGUGGCUGUUUUUCCGUUAUCUAGUUAUUGGAGCAUAUGUUGGACUUGCCACUGUUGCAGGUUUUAUAUGGUGGUUUGUUUAUUAUGAUAAUGGACCGAAACUCCCAUAUACUGAAUUGAUGCAUUUUGACAGUUGUUCAACAAGGGAAACAAAUUAUGCUUGCAGUAUAUUCAGUGAUCGCCACCCAUCUACUGUUUCAAUGACGGUGCUUGUUGUUGUUGAGAUGUUCAAUGCAUUGAAUAAUCUCAGUGAAAAUCAAUCUUUACUUGUCAUCCCUCCAUGGAGUAAUCUAUGGCUUGUUGGUUCGAUUAUCUUCACCAUGAUCCUUCACAUUCUCAUUCUUUAUGUGCAACCAUUAUCCGCUCUAUUCUCUGUGACACCGUUAAGCUGGGCAGAGUGGACAGUUGUGCUAUACCUUUCAUUUCCUGUAAGAGAUUUGACCAUCAAAGUCCUUAACUGUGGACUCCCUUUCAUAUUUAUGUUUGUGAACUGCAAAAAUCGUUUUUUCUGUAUCCUACUGGAGAAUUCGUUUAUCAUAAUUUUUGGAAGAAAGCGUGAUUUGUAUAACUGGAGAUAUGCUGUAGUUCAAAUGAGGAUAAGUAUUGUUAAGAUUGGUGCCACAUGUAGCAAAUGUGUCGUUCUUGGAUUCAAAAAGGUGUGACCUUUCGCUGAUCUCUAUAGCUCGCGUCCAUCAUAAAUGCAGCUAGAGUAUGGGCCCACUUGCUGCCUAGAUAGAGUGUCUCUGUUUAGUUCCAGGUAUUAUAGUCAUAGAUACAGUAUAAGUCAGGCAUCAGAAAGAAUAUGCUGGAGAUAUAUUAUCUCGGUUGCUGAUUCUCUGUAACUAUAUCCUUAAAAACUGUGCAUUAUGGCCAAGUUCCUCGAGCUUAAAAAAUGGAAGGGGGGCAAAAGGAAUUGCUCAUUAUCAAUUUCUAUGCCUGUGUUCAUGUUGACAUUUUGUUUGACCUUUCCCCUUCAUGUUUGCCAGUAGCUUUUGUUCUUGUGUUCUACUUCAUAAAUAUUCUUGCCAUUUAUCAUGAAGUGGAUUUCCCCCUUCCAUGACUACUGCUACUUUUUCUUGUUAGGUGAUAUUAAUUGAUGAAAUACUGAAGUUCGUCUCUCGAAAUUCAGGAAUAAGAUUCAGUUUCAGAUUCAGACGUGCUGAUUUACUUCCAAAAAGAGAG